rnacentral:rRNA from 1 species
UACAGAGGAUGCAAGCGUUAUCCGGAAUGAUUGGGCGUAAAGCGUCUGUAGGUGGCUUUUUAAGUCCGCCGUCAAAUCCCAGGGCUCAACUCUGGACAGGCGGUGGAAACUACCAAGCUGGAGUACGGUAGGGGCAGAGGGAAUUUCCGGUGGAGCGGUGAAAUGCGUAGAUAUCGCUUGGAACGCCAAAGGUGAAAACAGGUUGCUGGGGUUGUGCCGACGCUGAGACACGAAAGCCAGGGGAGCAAACGGG